rnacentral:rRNA from 1 species
CCUACGGGAGGCAGCAGUGGGGAAUAUUGGACAAUGGGCGAAAGCCUGAUCCAGCCAUGCCGCGUGUGUGAAGAAGGCCUUCGGGUUGUAAAGCACUUUCAGUGGGGAAGAAAGCCUUGGGGCUAAUACCCUCGAGGAAGGACAUCACCCACAGAAGAAGCACCGGCUAACUCCGUGCCAGCAGCCGCGGUAAUACGGAGGGUGCGGGCGUUAAUCGGAAUUACUGGGCGUAAAGCGCGCGUAGGCGGUCUGAUAAGCCGGUUGUGAAAGCCCCGGGCUCAACCUGGGAACGGCAUCCGGAACUGUCAGGCUAGAGUGCAGGAGAGGAAGGUAGAAUUCCCGGUGUAGCGGUGAAAUGCGUAGAGAUCGGGAGGAAUACCAGUGGCGAAGGCGGCCUUCUGGACUGACACUGACGCUGAGGUGCGAAAGCGUGGGUAGCAAACAGGAUUAGAUACCCGAGUAGUC